AUUCAGCUGACGAGUCCCAAAUAGGACGAAACUCACGUCUUUGAU
rnacentral:hammerhead_ribozyme from 1 species